rnacentral:rRNA from 1 species
CGUAUGGUUCUAUUUUGUUGGUUUCUAGGACCGUCGUAAUGAUUAAUAGGGACGGUCGGGGGCAUCAGUAUUCAGUUGUCAGAGGUGAAAUUCUUGGAUUUACUGAAGACUAACUACUGCGAAAGCAUUUGCCAAGGACGUUUUCAUUAAUCAAGAACGAAAGUUAGGGGAUCGAAGACGAUCAGAUACCGUCGUAGUCUUAACCGUAAACUAUGCCGACUAGGGAUCGGAGGGCGUUAUAAUAACCUCUCCGGCACCUUACGAGAAAUCAAAGUUUUUGGGUUCUGGGGGGAGUAUGGUUGCAAGGCUGAAACUUAAAGGAAUUGACGGAAGGGCACCACCAGGAGUGGAGCCUGCGGCUUAAUUUGACUCAACACGGGGAAACUCACC